AUAAGAAUAAUAAACGUUAGGGACGUUAUAAAACAAUAUUUGAAUGUCAAUGGACGGAUCUUUUGCAGAAUCACGGUAACCAUGGUAAAAUCUUGGUUUAUCAUUAGCAGUUCCAUUUUGAUAUUACAAGAAUCCUACUGAGAAUUACGUCAAAUUUGCUUCUUGACAGUUAUGCUAAUAUUAACUGUUUUGUAGAGAAACGCUUUUGGGUGGUUAAAGUCAUUUAUUGACAGUCUCACUGUAUCAGUACUGUAAAGCACGCGCACUUCCAUCGGCUCGUUCUCUCGGGCGCGUUCCCGUGCACAGAAUUCCUGGCUCAGGGCUCGAGAAGCCCGGGAACGGCGCUGUGGUGGAUGCAUUACAACAGCAUUCCAAACUCCUGUGCCUUUCUGUUUAUAACGACGAAGCCACGUUACACUUAUAUGAAUAAGUGAAUUUGAAUCCCAGUGUCACCGCCUGGACGUAGGAGUAAUUUGCGUUGAUUCAAAACGGAUUUAGUUUAUGACAGAUGAAUCUGGGAGACGCUAAAAUCAGACCUCCUGUAUGUGUGGUUGGAUGCAUCGAUGACACACAUAAUCCCAUCAUCGCACCUUCCGAAAAUGAACCAGAUACUGGAUGCCUGGAUUAAUGGGAGGAUGCCAGAUGGAAGGGUGGAGAUAUAUAAGGACCGCAGCUGUUAAAUGAACACAAAUUAUUCACAAUGUAUUUGGUCAUUUUUAUUUACUACAAAUACAAAAGCAAAAUUACAAAAGCCAUUUUAAUAUUCUUCCAAUAUUGAGUGGUGGGACAGGUCCAACCUCUGUUAGAAGUCAAAUGUUAAUUUAACUAGUCUGAAUAAAACAUUUAACAGGUUGAAGAGAGCAUUUAAUUGUGUGAAAAUAGAUAUAGGCUACUACAUAGAAACAGCAAGGCACAUUGAAAUAGAAACUGAAUUAUAUUUAUUUAAUAUGUGAAAUGUUUGUAAAGUCAUGUAGUCUAGAGCCAUGAACCUUUUAUGCUUAACUGAUUGAGUUAUCUGAUUUAAUUUGAUGAGUAUAAGUCCACUAACUAAAUAAUAAUAAAAAAAGAAAUAAUAAUGAUAAUAAUAAUAAAGGAAAAUUGUUAAAAUUGAAAGUAGAUUACAUCUGGUCUAAGCUAUUUUUUUUUUUAAUUUGGCUUUGUUAUUUAUUUAUUUAUUUAUUUUAUUCAUGUCGGUGAGGCCAUCUAAUUUGUAACUUUCUUAAUAUAAGAAUGGGGUAGGAGUUUAUAAGAUUUUUUUUUCUUCAUCCUACUCCUGUUCUUCUUGUCAUGGAAUGUAUUUUUGUUGUGUUUGUUGGAUUGUUGUUGUG